ACCACUUCUCGGCCUUUUGGCUAAGAUCAAGUGUAGUAUCUGUUCUUAUCAGCGCUGUGCUUGAGUAGCUUUUAGAAGGAGCUCCUGAGGUGAACGCAGGUGCAGCAGCAGGUGGCUUGACCGCCGCUGCCGCAGGUGACCCUCUGGACUCCUUUUUAGGGUUUUAUUUCUU
ensembl:snRNA U2 U2 spliceosomal RNA